rnacentral:rRNA from 1 species
GAUGAACGCUGGCGGCGCGCCUAACACAUGCAAGUCGAACGAUUAAAGCACCUUCGGGUGUGUAUAAAGUGGCGAACGGCUGAGUAACACGUGGGCAACCUGCCCCUCUCAUUGGGAUAGCCACGGGAAACCGUGGAUAAUACCGAAUACUUCGGGACUUCCGCAUGGAAGGCUCGAGAAAGCUCCGGCGGAGAGGGAUGGGCCCGCGGCCUGUUAGCUUGUUGGUGGGGUAACGGCCUACCAAGGCAAUGAUGGGUAGCUGGGUUGAGAGACCGACCAGCCAGAUUGGGACUGAGACACGGCCCAGACUCCUACGGGAGGCAGCAGUGGGGAAUCUUGCACAAUGGGCGAAAGCCUGAUGCAGCGACGCCGCGUGCGGGAUGAAGGCCUCGGUUGUAAACCGCUUCUAGCAGGGACGAGGCGAAAGUAGACGGUACCGUCGCGAGAAGGAAGACCCGGCCGUAACUAACGUGCC